GUAACGGCGAGUGAAGCGGCAACAGCUCAAAUUUGAAAUCUGGCCCCCCGCGGGCCCGAGUUGUACUUUGGAGAGGACGCUUCUGGCGCGGCGCCGUCCGAGUUCCCUGGAACGGGACGCCGGAGAGGGUGAGAGCCCCGUACGGGCGGCCGCCUAGCCUCUGCGAAGCUCCUUCGACGAGUCGAGUAGUUUGGGAAUGCUGCUCAAAAUGGGAGGUAAAUUUCUUCUAAAGCUAAAUACCGGCCAGAGACCGAUAGCGCACAAGUAGAGUGAUCGAAAGAUGAAAAGCACUUUGAAAAGAGGGUCAAACAGUACGUGAAAUUGUUGAAAGGGAAGCGCCUGUGGCCAGACUUGCGCCCCGCGGACCACCCGGCGCCUCGCGCGCCGGGGCACGCCAGCGGGGCGCAGGCCAGCAUCGGCUCUCUCGGGGGGACAAAGGCCGCGGGAACGUAGCGCCCUCGCGGCGUAUUAUAGCCCGCGGCGCCAUGCCCCCGGGGGGGCCGAGGACCGCGCUCCGGCAAGGAUGCUGGCGUAAUGGCCACCGGCGACCCGUCUUGAAACACGGACCAAGGAGUCAAGCAUUGGGGCGAGUGUCUGGGUGGCAAGCCCGCACGCGGAAUGAAAGUGAACGCAGGUGGGAGCUUCGGCGCACCACCGACCGAUCCUGAUGUCCUCGGAUGGAUUUGAGUAGGAGCCCCGCCGCUUGGACCCGAAAGAUGGUGAACUAUGCCUGUAUAGGGUGAAGCCAGAGGAAACUCUGGUGGAGCCCGCAGCGGUUCUGACGUGCAAAUCGAUCGUCAA
rnacentral:rRNA from 1 species